CGGCCUGCCGGGAGAGCCGGGGAAAGAAGGAGUGGUCAGUACAGAUCCCUCCCCGGCUCCGCAACGACCCACAGAAAGGGGCUCGCACUGACUUUCCUUCUUCCUAAAGGUCCCCACGGAUAAUUGCCUCUUCUUCCGGGACAGGGGAGGGUCGGGAGGGGGAGAGGAGGGCGGUUGAGGUAAGGCUUUAGAAAGUACACCCAACAGAAAUUCCUCACCCUCCAGGCGGCUCUCCGACCCCUCCUCUUUGUGGGUGAAGAGUCGCCCUGCAGGGCCUGGGAAGUCGAGAUGUCUAUGCCAACCUCGUACACCUGGCCACCAAAAAGGACCUGCCCCCCUACGGGGACCUGGCGCCUGAGCCACCCCAAACAAGCAGCCACGGGCGGGGACGAGGAAGGUCCUCAGAGACAAGACUCCGGCCGAUGCGAAGACCGGAUUGGGGAGGCCCGGAGCGAUAUACAGAGGGAGGGUGGAUGGGUGGGGUGUGCAGCGGCCAACUCCGCCGCCACCCCCACCUAGCCUCUGAGCCCAGGGGAGCCCUUACCCGCGCAGAUGUAGGUCACGGAGAACCUCCGGCUUCUAUUUUGGGCGGGAGAGGAUUUGGCAGGAACAUGAAUAAUAGAUGCCCCUAAACUUAGCCGGUUUGGCGGCGGCUCAUUCUGUGUGGCAUGGCCACGCGUUCUGGUGCCUCGCGCCCAGGGAAAGUGCCAGGCACACGGGACUUUGAAAAUUGCUGGGAGUGAAAUGGGGCUUUUAAGUCUGCUAAAUAAAUAGUUCGCGCGAAUCUGUUGGCGAUGUUGAGGCGGCGGAAAGGGAAAGGGUCAAUAGGGGACCAAGAGCCAACUGGAGUGCCGCGGUCUUGAAGUCGCCCUUCCCUACUACCUCUGUCCUUCAUGUAGGACGGGGAGAGGUGGGCUAAAAUAUAUAACCCCCUCGCUUUGAGCCGCUGGAAAGACCCGGAACGCGGCCAGAGCAAGUAGCGCUCUCUAGUAGGGGUAAGAGUCGUACUUCGUUAAUCUGCUCGCCUUUCCUCCGUCCCCGGAUUGGUGAAGACAAGGCAAGCACAAGUCUCCGUCCGCCCCGCACCCAGCCCUUCCUCGGCGACGUGCCUCCUCUAUAUGGCCCAGCUUCCCAGAGUCCCUGGGUCUUUCUGGCCACUUCCAUCCCGUGCCCAAAUGCUGGAAUCCUUAUAUUGAAGCCAGAACCCCUUCCUCCGGCCACAUCAGUGGUCAGUGGCCCCUAAGGCGACCGUUCUUGGGCGCGGCUCGGAGAAGCAGCUUUGCAGGCAGAAGGCGCGCUCCUGGCUGCAAGGAGCCGCGUACACCGCGCGGCGAGGACGCUGGGAGCUACUACGGUCCGCUGACCGCCCCGGGACUUUGGGGCUGCGUAAGGAACUCAUCAGUGUCAACCGAUUAGAAAUCAGGGGUUAAGAAGAAAGCCACGGUUACUCCAGCCUCUGGCGGGCAAAGUUGUCCAGGUCCUGCCUGCCUGCCGGCUUUCUCUUCCUCUUUCCUUGCAUCCGUUUCAUCCGUUUCUCCCCCCUUCCUUUCAGACUCAUUCUUGUUCUUUCUUCUCUCAGAUCGCUUUUCCUCAACCAGACCCGGCCAACACUCUCCCUCCCCAAGACAGUCUGAGACUCAUAUUGCAGCUGGAAAACGUAUCACUUAAGAGAAAGCUGUUCCAGGGGAAAGAAUUCGAAUUGAAGUGAAAGGGAUAUCAGAGGAGAGAGAGGGAGACCCCGCCCCGAUAGUCCAGAACACGCUGUAACAAAGCAAAGUCCACGGGAGCUUCACGCUCUACCCUCCAACCUGGCUGCAGGCACCAAAGCAGAACUUCUCCUAACUCAAGCUAAGAAUAGGGAAUAGAAGUCAAGCUCGGGGCCCGGCCCUGCCCCCUCCCGCAGGCGGGGCUGGGGGAGGGGAGAUUUCUCCAGCCGGCUGAUGCUCCCUUGCUCAACCCGGGCCCCUUGGCUGCGGCGGUCUGGGGGAGGGGCGCGGAGCCGCACUGGAGCCUGCCCGGCCCUCGCGCCGAGCCAGGGCCACGGCCAGGGACCUGCGGUCCGACCCGGGCUGACGGCGGCGGCGUACUAGGGGCCGGUGGGAAGAUGAUUGUAGCUGGGACCGCGGAACUGCAGGAGGGAGACCACGAGGAAGUGUUGGGGGAAGCCAAGCCUCAGCUCAGCCCGGGCAGCAAGCACCUACCUGAUUCCAGGGAACCGGAGUCCUGCGGUGGCAGUCACGUAAUGAUCGGGUAUCAGAAAAAGACGUCAGCAUCCUAGUCCCUCAAGGAACAUAUUAACUAUUUUGUGCUGUCCUCUUGGAUGAUAAGAUCCGGAGUCAUCGACUUCUCAUAAACACCUUUCACUGAUACAAUCCAAUUUUUAAGAAGUGCAAUUAUUUUGAUGGUUUUCAAUUUUGCCCAUUUCUCAAGGAUGGGUAAAGAAUUCAUACAAUUUCGAGGAUGCUCUGCCUCUGGAGUAAAUUCGCACACAAAGAGUCCGCGGGGAACACAACCAGAUAAUGAAGCAGAGACGUCUUUUUUACCAAAGCGCCCAAAGCUAUUACCGACUGUGACUU